GGGGUAGUAACUCAGUGGUAGAGUGCUCGCUUCGCAUCUCGUGAUUGCGAGAAGCCCAGGGUUCAAUCCCCUGCUGCUCCA